GAUGAACGCUAGCGGCAGGCUUAAUACAUGCAAGUCGAGGGGCAUCAAGGUACACGAAAGUGUAUUGUUGGCGACCGGCGGACGGGUGAGUAAUAGGUAGGUAACCUACCUCAUACUGAGGCAUAGCUGGGAGAAAUUCCAGGUAAUUCCUCAUGAGGUUAUAUGACACAUGUGAUAUAAUCAAAGGUAUCGCAAGGUACUGGUAUGAGAUGGGCUUACUGACCAUUAGCUAGUUGGUGAGAUAAGAGCUCACCAAGGCGAAGAUGGUUAGGGGUUUUGAGAGAGAGAUCCCCCACAUUGGAACUGAGAUACGGUCCAGACUCCUACGGGAGGCAGCAGUAGGGAAUAUUGGGCAAUGGGCGGAAGCCUGACCCAGCCAUGCCGCGUGAAGGAAGACGGCCUUAUGGGUUGUAAACUUCUUUACUAUGCGACUAACUAGAUUUACGAGAUAAUUCUAUAGAAUGUAGCAUAGCAAAAGCACGG
rnacentral:rRNA from 1 species